GUCUCAACUCAUUUUCUGACCCCACACCUAGAAUUUCCUGUGCCUCUCAAACUAACCGCUUGUUCUCAAGCGGUUUCAGGGUCUGCUUCUAGGAGGACCCGAAGUACAUCAGAACCCUUAGGGGUUCUUCUGUAUUUUACGUCAUCAUAAGCCAUUCUGAACCCUAAGAAAAUGGGUCGCUAUACUUAAUGUCUUAGGAGUGAAAGCGUGGUUCAGUGAUGCUUUAACUUCUGCGUCAUCAGGAGUUCUCUGAGGCUUAGGCAUUUAUUGCUCUCCCUGAGAAGACUGGCUUUCCUCAGGUGAAGAACACGUGUGGAUGGGCGAGUCUGAAAGCCAUUUUUAUCUCCUUGGAAGGCAUUUUCAUUCCGUCGUUCAACAAAGAGAGCACGUCACAGCAGAAAAUACCACAUCUGGGUGAAAUGGAGUGCCAGCAACAGGGUCAUGUGCUUCCACAGCAAUGGGCAGACCUGGGGAAGCCAAUGUUUACAUUCUAUGUCCAGCAAUGUCGGGCCUGCCCAGCAUGAAUUUGGCCAGACGCUCUUUCCAACUUCACUGAACACCAUCUGCUAGACAAGUCAGCCAUGAUCUCUAGAGUGUCACACACUCCAAAAUUCUGAGGACACACUCCAAAAAAUUCUGCUCCCAUUAAAUAGUCAUUUUUGUAUAUGAAAGAGAUUUAUUUUGUUUUUAAUGCUG
rnacentral:lncRNA from 1 species